rnacentral:lncRNA from 1 species
UAACCUACUCUCCACACAACCCAGUGUUGCCUGCAUCCUACUGAUCAUACAAGAAAGGCAAACAACCAUUUCUGUGCAGAGGGACAGUAUAGACUUGGUGAAUGUGGGAGUCUGUAAGCAGCGUCUCCAGAGCCCCAGGAUGGGAAAGUAACUGCCUUUGGAAUAACUGAACUCUACCUGGGAGUCGCAGUGUCUCUCAAGACCCUAUAUGCACUGGAAGCUGCCUCCAAGUGCCCAACGUUUCAAACUCUCCCAGGACAGAAGUGAUUGAAUGGUUAGUCCCAAUGCCAUAUUCUCUUUUCAUGUGAUCCAGCCACAGUUUCAGUCCUGAAAGGGAUGUAAAAAAUUUAGCAACAUUUUACAUGUCUUUAUCUUAAUGUCUCAGAUGGAGACCAUGGCAUGUGUGUGGCAGGCUUAUUUAAU